rnacentral:lncRNA from 1 species
CCAGGUAGAAUUGAGAGAAGAUGCCUGGAAACCUUAUAAACCAGAAAACAGGACUUCUGCUCUGAGCUCAACAUGCUCCCUUGCAGACUCACCUUAGAGGAUCAACCAGAACGGGACGAGACAGCAGGUUUGUUUCUGCUUUGACCUAUGCAUCAUGGUUUCAAAGAAUUAAGCUAAUUUUCCAUUGCUAUACAAAAAUCACUAGGGACUUGAAGGGCACCUCAGGUGUUUAGCACUUGUACAUUAUACACAAGGCUCUGGCUUGGAUCCUCACUAGAAAUAAAUAAAAAGAAUGGUUAGUUAUAAAUGGGGGGGGGGGGGUUGUAACUUAAAAAGCAGGAAAGCAUGAAGAAGGAAGUGUGCCUCCCACUGGUUCCUACCUCAGCCACACCCCUAAAAGCUGAGCAUUUGGAUUUUGGGUAAACCUCAAGCUUAAUUGUCAGAUCAAAGUACUCACUCCCAAGCUGAGAAGGACUGAGAUGCUCUAAGGUCUAAGGGUUCCACACCCUGAGGUUUAAUACAUGUGCUGAGAAUGUCUUGAAACAAGGCGAGUUUUAAAGGUAUGUCAAUCACAUUCCAAACAACAUGCCCAGCACUUUUUUUGUUUCACUACCAGAUACCAUUUCAGGCUAGGAAACCUGUAGAUUUAUGGCAGUGGGUGCAUCCGGACGGGGCAGGGUGGGGAGAGGAUGGCUCAAUGGGAACGAGCCCUUCCUUGUGCAAGCAUGAAGACACCAUCAUCUUUCUGAUCUCUUCAUAAAUGCAACACAUUUAAGUGUUUUCAGAAAUCUCGGCCCCAGCAACCAGAAGGUGACUUGGUGUCAGCUCCGAUGUGUAGGUCAGAGGGGUUGGAGUUCGGUUUGGGCAACGCUGGAAAAGCCCAGAGAUUCCUUCCACCUCAAACGUAAGAUACCAACGCCUACAAGUGAUUAAUCACUGAUACUCCCCUGGGU